rnacentral:lncRNA from 1 species
GUUGAGAGCUUUCAUGAAAAAGGAAAGUUUUUAUUUUAACUUUUGAGAAAUCUUAAAUCCAACUCUAUCUUUCUAUCCCAAAUUAGGUGAACUGAUUAAUAUCACAUAAUAUUAGUAUUACUAUAUCGAUUUUGUAUGGAAAUUGUUUCCUCAGAAAAUACAGAGAAUUUGAUACAAAUCUAAAAGAUAGAUAACUUGGACAACAUGUAGAUCAAAGACAAACUGGUAUACACAACUCUGUGAUUAAGCAGACCCAAAUGGUACAAAACUAAAUUAUUUGGAUAAUCACAAACAACAUGAAUCUUUAACUAACCUUUGAUUAUGGGAUCUCUGACUCUCAAGAGUAAAGAAGCUGUUACAGAGAAAGAAAUCAAAAGCAGCAACCAAAGAAGAAAGACUCUUCUGCUUAUUGCUUUCCUAACAUUUUAUUCUUUUUCUUUCUGUAUUUUUGGUUUUUGGUUUUGAGAGAUAAGUAACUUUGAAUAUGUAGAAGAAAAAGUCGGCUAUACUUUGAUUCUGGGUCUAGCUGGUAUGGAAGCAAAAAACCUUUUUCUUUUGUUUCUCUGACCACCUUUUUUUUUGGAUUAAUAAUCAAAUCAAAUCAAUUUGUAUUUUAGAUUUGAUGGUACAGAGAGAAUUAGUUGGCCACUUUCUC